rnacentral:pre_miRNA from 1 species
CGGGGGAGGCCGGAUCCUGGGCUGUGCUCCGGGACCUGCGCUAUUGGAUUCGCGCUCCCGGCCGCGUAGCCCCUC